rnacentral:rRNA from 1 species
AGUGAACGCUGGCGGUAGGCCUAACACAUGCAAGUCGAACGGCAGCACAGUAAGAGCUUGCUCUUACGGGUGGCGAGUGGCGGACGGGUGAGGAAUACAUCGGAAUCUACUUUUUCGUGGGGGAUAACGUAGGGAAACUUACGCUAAUACCGCAUACGACCUACGGGUGAAAGCAGGGGAUCUUCGGACCUUGCGCGAUUGAAUGAGCCGAUGUCGGAUUAGCUAGUUGGCGGGGUAAAGGCCCACCAAGGCGACGAUCCGUAGCUGGUCUGAGAGGAUGAACACCCACACGGGAAAGGAGACAGGCUCCAGACCCCGAGGGGAGGAAGCAGUGGGGAAUUUGGGACAAAGGGCGAAAGCCUGAUCCAGCAAUCCGGCGGGGGUGAAGAAGGCUUGCGGGUUGUAAAGCCUUUUUGUGGGAAAAGAAAAAAAGGAGGUUAAUCCCGCGGGGUUCGGAGGGUACCAAAAGAAAAAGCCCCGGCUAAUUACGUG